rnacentral:rRNA from 1 species
ACGCUCGACACCUACGAGGCAGCAGUGAGGAAUAUUGGUCAAUGGGCGCAGGCCUGAACCAGCCAAGUAGCGUGAAGGAUGACUGCCCUAUGGGUUGUAAACUUCUUUUAUAUGGGAAUAAAGUUUUCCACGUGUGGAAUUUUGUAUGUACCAUAUGAAUAAGGAUCGGCUAACUCCGUGUCAGCAGCCGCGGUAAUCUGAGCGGGCUGGCAAGGC